GUGAGAUCGUUCGGCAAACAUAUGUUUUGGAACCAUGGCUCCAGUUUGAUCGUUGGCAUAAUUUUGUAAUGGCUAAGGGUCAAGUCGUCUUUGGUUAUUGGAAAGUCGUCGAUUUCAGUUCUUGUUGUUUCAAGCUUAGCUGCAUGAUCAGCUCUGUCGUUUCCCGUUAGAUGAAUAUGUCCAGGAAUCCAUUGAAUGGUGAGACUGUCUAUUUGUGAUCUAUUAAUUAAUUUAUAAAUGGUACAGAUUAAAAAGUUUUCAUCAUUUUUCGUACUUUGAA